AGUGAACGCUGGCGGUAGGCCUAACACAUGCAAGUCGAACGGCAGCACAGAGGAGCUUGCUCCUUGGGUGGCGAGUGGCGGACGGGUGAGGAAUACAUCGGAAUCUACUCUGUCGUGGGGGAUAACGUAGGGAAACUUACGCAAAUACCGCAUACGACCUACGGGUGAAAGCAGGGGACAUUCGGGCCUUGCGCGAUUGAAUGAGCUGAUGUCGGAUUAGCAAGUUGGCGGGGUAAAGGCCCACCAAGGCGACGAUCCGUAGCUGGUCUGAGAGGAUGAUCAGCCACACUGGAACUGAGACACGGACCAGACUCCUACGGGAGGCAGCAGUGGGGAAUAUUGUACAAUGGGCGCAAGCCUGAUCCAGCCAUACCGCGUGGGUGAAGAAGGCCUUCGGGUUGUAAAGCCCUUUUGUUGGGAAAGAAAUCCAGCUGGUUAAUACCCGGUUGGGAUGACGUUACCCAAAGAAUAAGCACCGGCUAACUUCGUGCCAGCCGCCGCCGUAA
rnacentral:rRNA from 1 species